AGUCGAGCGAAUGGAUUAAGAGCUUGCUCUUAUGAAGUUAGCGGCGGACGGGUGAGUAACACGUGGGUAACCUGCCCAUAAGACUGGGAUAACUCCGGGAAACCGGGGCUAAUACCGGAUAAYAUUUUGAACYGCAUGGUUCGAAAUUGAAAGGCGGCUUCGGCUGUCACUUAUGGAUGGACCCGCGUCGCAUUAGCUAGUUGGUGAGGUAACGGCUCACCAAGGCAACGAUGCGUAGCCGACCUGAGAGGGUGAUCGGCCACACUGGGACUGAGACACGGCCCAGACUCCUACGGGAGGCAGCAGUAGGGAAUCUUCCGCAAUGGACGAAAGUCUGACGGAGCAACGCCGCGUGAGUGAUGAAGGCUUUCGGGUCGUAAAACUCUGUUGUUAGGGAAGAACAAGUGCUAGUUGAAUAAGCUGGCACCUUGACGGNACCUAACCAGAAAGCCACGGCUAACUACGUGCCAGCAGCCGCGGUAAUACGUAGGUGGCAAGCGUUAUCCGGAAUUAUUGGGCGUAAAGCGCGCGCAGGUGGUUUCUUAAGUCUGAUGUGAAAGCCCACGGCUCAACCGUGGAGGGUCAUUGGAAACUGGGAGACUUGAGUGCAGAAGAGGAAAGUGGAAUUCCAUGUGUAGCGGUGAAAUGCGUAGAGAUAUGGAGGAACACCARUGGCGAAGGCGACUUUCUGGUCUGUAACUGACACUGAGGCGCGAAAGCGUGGGGGAGCAAACAGGAUUAGAUACCCUGGUA
rnacentral:rRNA from 1 species